GGGGGGGGUGAUGUUUACGUUGCCGUUGGUGUUCAGAGGCGGAAUGCAGAAGGGAGGAGACGACGGGACAUGUCUCAGUGUUUCAGCCGGUCCCCUGUGUGUGUGUGUGCACAAUAUACACACAGUGUGCAAGGUGCUGUGAGACGGGAUGUGACCCAACGCACAACGCACAACGCACAACACACAACACACAGGCAACGGGGCCUUUUGCUUCUCUGCUUAUCCGUCCACGUGUGACAUCAUCAAGUCUCGGCUGACUUGAAACUUUAAUAAAAAAUAAAAAAAAAACAUGGCAGCUGUUCCCGGUGACGGCAAAUUCCUCCAAAGCCUCCAGACAGAGCGAGUCUCUCAAUGAAUGUCAGAGGACAAAUAGAGCUGAUUUAAAGUACCAACACGUUUGGAGAGGCCUGAACAAAACUCCACAAGUAAAAACUGCGUAAAGACAGAAGUUAUGGAGGACAAAUCAAGGCAACGGGAAGCUCAAGCCUGAUUCCUAACAAAAGCAGGUGAAACAAUAAAACAUUGAUAUAAGAACAUCUGACAUCAAAAAUUAUGCAAACAAUGAAAAGAGCAUUAACGCAAGUAAAAUCUGUUUUAAUAAAUGAUUUAAAAGACACUUCCAGAGUUGAUGCAUGUAGGAAACCAUCAAAGGUACAUUUUGUGAAGUAAACCAGCAGCAGAGUCCACGCACACACACAGGAGCGCUUGUUUUCCUCACCAGGGUGGCCUUUUAAAACCCGCCGCGCUCGGUUCAGAGGGCCGGGCUGAAACACUAGAUACUGUCUACACGGUGGUGUACUUCAUGUACACGUGUGUAUUGCUUAACCACAAUGACCUGCUAGUGUGUGUGUGUGUGUGUGUGUGUGUAAAACAGAUUCCUGCAGUAUUGGUGAAGUACACUGUAUUUAUGUAGCAAUAAUCCUAAUGGCCGUUAAAACAAAGUCAUGACUCAUGACCUCGCUGUGGGCCGACUGAAGACAAUGUAACAAACUUUAUAGCUCAGUGAUGCUUCUAAAUGUGUGCGUCCAGCGGGGGCCACUGUUCCUCUUUGGCCUUUCGAGUGUAACUGUGUGUUUCUUAAUCAACACUUGUGCUUUUUAUUCAGCUUUUGUACUCUUGUAUCUUGUAAUGCUGCGUUUGAACUAAUGUGAUCAUCAGACAGUUUUAACACAUUAUAAUCUAUUCUUUGGUGGACAAAAUUGAUCUCCAAUAUCGGUGGUUUGCAGGUUUUAUAACGAGUUAAAAAAAAGUGAAAAAUUAUUCUUAUUUGAAAAAUGAUUAAAAAGCCCCCUAAUCUGCUCCUGAGAAGAGUGUGACCCGAUAACACCCCUCAAAGUAGACGUGUAGGGAAGAGAGCGGCGGCUGAAGGAUAGGAGAGGUGGCUUAUUGUAGACAGUUUUAACUGAAGAAUAUACACAUUGAAUGUGAUUUUACGCCUUUCAGGUAGCUAUUGUUUGCAGGUAAUGUCGGUAAGUUCAGCGUGCAGAGGCUACAGCUCGGGACCGGUUUUAAUCAGCUGAAAUAUUAUUUAGUGGUGGUGCAAAUGAAAGAAUUUUGGGAUAUGCACCUGUCCGCAGGUUGCAAAGUUCUGGGAAAUAAAAAAAUCGUGAAUCCCCCCCCCCCAGCGGUCCUCCCCUCACUACAGUGCUUUACUAUGAUGCUCGGUAAUGUAUUCUGUUUGCGACCCAAUGCCACAUGCCGACGCCCUUAAGCGCCCCCCUCACACCUCCAUCAGAUGUGCACUGAGCUCUUCCUCUGAGCUUUGAGUUUGAAGGAGGCGUACGAGGAGGGACGAGGAGGGACGAGGAGGGACGAGGUGUCCCUCGCUCUCGCUGAGUGAAGCUGCCUCUCUUUGCAGACCGGUGGUCCAAUAGAGCUUCACAUUCACCUGAAUAAUCGAACGAGCCGUUUGUACCCGCCGUAGUGGUGCGGACGGAUACGGAUGGGGUGCAAAACACAAGUAUUUUAGGUUCUGCAUUACGUGGCGUCUGCAGUGUCUCCGCCGCUGACCUUUAACCCCAGUGUUGUUCCUUGCUCUUACAGUCGUUGUAUGUUUUUGUAAAAUAGAAGAGAGAAAAGAAGACCAAAAGAAAGAAAAAAUAUUUAUUGAAAUGUGUUUUAAGAAACAAAAUAAAUAUAAUUAAUUAAAUGGACCUUGCUUUUAUUUUGAAAAGCUACUGUGUUUUCUAUCUGAACAUUAAUCUAAUAUAACAAAAGUAUGUUUCCCGUUAAUAAAGUGAUUUUCUUCCUGAUUGGAUCGUGUUCUGUUGCUGUGAUGGACGUGUGGACCUGUAGGCCUUUUUCCUGUAGAACUGCUCAGGAACAGUCGCGCUGUCACACUCACUCAACAGUGCCUAGUGCGACCUUUGACUCCUCUCCCACAUCUGCUUCCAAAACGUUUUAUUACAUAUCUAGAUUAAGC
ensembl:lncRNA